rnacentral:tRNA from 1 species
GUGGCUAUGGUGUAGCGGUAGCACUGCAGCUUGUGGAGCUGCCUGUUCGGGUUCAACUCCCGAUAGCCACCCCA